UAAAUAAUGUCUCCAUUUCUCCACUGCAGUCAAAACUGCCAUAUAUUCCUUUUCAUAAGUUGAUAAUCCCCUAUUCUGUGUUAAAAAAACUUGCUUAAGAUAUUGGUCGACCAUCUUGCAUCAAGACAGCCCUCAUCCCUGUAGAACAAGCAUCAGUUUCUACAAUAAAUGGCUUAUUAAAGUCAGCCAAGGCUAAAACAGGAGCUGAAGACAUGGCUAUCUUUAGCUUAUUGAAGGCAGUUUCAGCUUCCUCAGACCACUGAAAUGAGUUCUUCUUCAGUAAAUUGGUGAGAGGUUUGUUGAUAAUUCCAUAAGACUUGACAAAUCUCCUAUAGUAACCAGUGAGACCCAAAAAUCCUCUAAGAGCCUUAACAGAUUUGGGAACAGGCCAAUUGAUCAUGGCCUCAUUCUUAGCAGGAUCAGUAGCUACCCCUUGGCCUGAAAUAAUAUGCCCCAAAUACUCCACUUGACUUUGACCAAAAGCACAUUUAGACAACUUAGCAUACAUUUGCUCUUUCUGUAACACCUCUAAUACCCAACUAAGAUGCAUAACAUGACUCUCCAUUGAAGGACUGUAGACCAAUAUAUCAUCAAAAUAUACCAGCACAAAUUUCCUAAGGAAAGGCAUGAAUACAUGAUUCAUUAAACCUUGAAAGGUAGCAGGUGCAUUACUUACCCCAGAUGGCAUAACCAUGAACUUAUGUGUCCCAAGUGAGUCCUAAAUGCAGUCUUGUAUAUGCUAGAUUCCUUCAUUCUAAUCUGGUGAUAACCAGCCCUUAAAUCAAUCUUUGAAUAAAUGCAUGAACCAUUUAAUUCAUCCAUGAGAUCAUCUACUAGAGGUAUAGGAAAUUUGUCUUUCACAAUCAUUUUGUUUAAUUCUCUGUAAUCUAUACAAAACCUCCAACUAUCAUCCUUUUUUAACCAAUAACACUGGUGAGGAGAAAGGAGAGUGACUAGGCUGAAUGGUACCACUAUUAAGCAUGUCAUUCACUUAUUUUUCUAUAUCAUUCUUUUGAAAAUGGUUAUGCUUGUAGGGCCUAAUGUUGACUGGAGAUGCAUUUGAUUUGAGAGGGAUGUAGUGAUCAUGACUCCUCUGUGGUGGCAGAGACUUUGGCUCAGCAAAAAACUCCUGGAAAUACAUUCAACAGCCUCCUAAUUUGUUCAGGUAUGCUUCUUUCUUCUAUAGUAGGUUCAGCAGUAAUUGUGAAGAGAUGAGCCCACCACAGUUCGCCUUUCUUGAGCAGCUGCUUCACCCCUACAGCUAGCAAACUCUGUAAACUCCCCUCUUCAGAAAAACCCUUCAAUUCUACUCUCUUUCCCUUCACACUUACCUGUGAUCUAUAUCCAAUAAAAUCAAACAAUAUAGGAUUGUGCUUUCUCAUCCAAUCCACUCCUAAUACCAUAUCACAUCUCCCAAUGUCUAACAUUCUCAGCUUGUGUUCAAAUUCAAUGCCUUGCAUUUUCCAUUUGAACUGAGGGCAAGAAUGAUAACUCAUCAAGUUACUCCCAUUUGCAGUUGUAACUCUCAUUGGAGCAUCUACCUGAAUCACACACCCCAAUUGUUUUGCAGUUUCACUUGCUACAAAACUAUGGGUGCUACCACGGUCUGCCAAUAUUACCAUAGUAGUAGAUGUGACUGUCCCAGAUAAGGCAUUGAGACUUAUUGCCUCAUUAAUUAUUAUUUCCUGACUUUGCUCCUGCACUAUUCCCUCUUCCCCAGCAUUCAUGUCUACCUCUUCUUGUUUAGUAGACCCAGACAAUGCAUUUAGCUGUUUAUUCUUACAUUGAUGGCCAAGGAAAUAUUCUGUCCACACUUAUAACAUUCACCUCUUGCUCUUCUUGCCUCAAAUAAUUUGUUGCCCACAUUGUAGGAGGUAGAUCCCCAUUCCUUCUGCUGAACCCCAGAUGUUCUCAUUGCUGCUUGGCCAUUAUUAUUGUUGUACUGUACUGACUACCUAGUAAUAUUUACUUUACCCUUUUUAGCUACUGCUUCUAACAACUUCUCUUUAUUCCUAGCCUUCUCCACUGCUUGGCUCAAGGAGAAAGGAUCAAGCAUCUUGACUGUGUGCCUAAUUUCAUCCUUGAGUCCUUCAAUAAAGAAAUUCUUCAGGGAUAGUGGGUGUUUAAUCAAGACCCAAGCCUUCAAAUCUUCAAAUAUGGCCAGGUAAUUAUUCGCUGAUCCUUGCUGCUCAAUUCUUUUGAACUCUCCUAAGAUAUUAAGAUUGCUAUUAUCCGACUCCUCAAAUCUUUAACUGAUUUUUUCUACAAACUCAGGCCAUCUCACACUACCUCUGCUUAGAUGAUAAGAGAAAUACCAGGAUUCAGCCCUUCUAUUGAGAUGAAGGACAUCAGCCUCUAACUUCUCCUGAAGAUCAGUUAUCUGAUUGAAGUGGAAGUAUCUUUCACACUUGCGGAGCCAAGAUCUGGA
rnacentral:lncRNA from 1 species